AUUGAACGCUGGCGGCAGGCCUAACACAUGCAAGUCGAGCGGUAGAGAGAAGCUUGCUUCUCUUGAGAGCGGCGGACGGGUGAGUAAUGCCUAGGAAUCUGCCUGGUAGUGGGGGAUAACGUUCGGAAACGGACGCUAAUACCGCAUACGUCCUACGGGAGAAAGAAGGGGACCUUCGGGCCUUGCGCUAUCAGAUGAGCCUAGGUCGGAUUAGCUAGUUGGUGGGGUAAUGGCUCACCAAGGCGACGAUCCGUAACUGGUCUGAGAGGAUGAUCAUACACACUGGAACUGGGCCACGGUCCAGAGUCCUACGGGAGGCAGCAGUGGGGAAUAUUGGACAAUGGGCGAAAGCCUGAUCCAGCCAUGCCGCGUGUGUGAAGAAGGUCUUCGGAUUGUGAGGCACUUUAAGUUGGGAGGAAGGGCAGUAAAUUAAUACUUUGCUGUUUUGACGUUACCGACAGAAUAAGCACCGGCUAACUCUGUGCCAGCCGCCGCCGUAA
rnacentral:rRNA from 1 species